UACGUAGGCAGCGAGCGUUGUUCGGAGUUACUGGGCGUAAAGGGUGCGUAGGCGGUUGUUUAAGUUUGGUGUGAAAUCUCCCGGCUCAACUGGGAGGGUGCGCCGAAUACUGAAUGACUAGAGUGCGGGAGAGGAUAGUGGAAUUCCUGGUGUAGUGGUGAAAUGCGUAGAUAUCAGGAGGAACGCCGGUGGUGUAGACGGCUAUCUGGACCGUAACUGACGCUGAGGCACGAAAGCGUGGGUAGCAAACAGG
rnacentral:rRNA from 1 species